rnacentral:rRNA from 1 species
UGAAAUCUCACCAGGCCCGGACACUGGAAGGAUUGACAGAUUGAUAGCUCUUUCUUGAUUCGGUGCGUGGUGGUGCAUGGCCGUUCUUAGUUGGUUGAGUGAUUUGUCUUGUUAAUUCCGAUAACGAACGAGACUCUGUCCUGCUAAAUAGUGUCUGCUUCUCUUUCGAGCAGACAAUUCUUCUUAGAGGGACUAUCGGAUUCAAACCGAUGGAAGUGUGAGGCAAUAA